rnacentral:rRNA from 1 species
GACGAACGCUGGCGGCGUGCUUAACACAUGCAAGUCGAACGGUGAAGCGCCUUCCUUUUUGGUUGGUGUGGAUGAGUGGCGAACUGGUGAUUAACACGUGAGUAACCUGCCCCCUUCUUCUGGAUAACCGCAUGAAAGUGUUGCUAAUACGGGAUAUUCUGGUUCUUUCGCAUGAUGGGUCUUGGAAAGAUAUUGUUUCGGUGUGGGAUGUGCUCGCGGCCUAUCAGCUUGUUGGUGGGGUGAUUGCCUACCAAGGCGGUGAGGGGUAGCCGGCCUGGGAGGGUGGAAGGAAACACAGGGAAUGAGAGACGGAGAAGAAUACAAGGGGAGGCAGAAGGGGGGAAUAGAGAACAAUGGGAGAAAGACUGAUGCAGAGACGAGGCGUGAGGGAUGGAGGGCUUCGGGUUGUGAACAUCUUUAGCGAGUGAAGAAGGAAAGACUGGUUUGUGGGUGGGUUGACGGUAGCUGGAUAAGAAGCGCCGGCUAACUACGUG